AGCGUUGCGCAUUGGCAGUAUCGUAACCAAUGAGGUUUAUCCGAGGUGUGAUUAUUGCUAGUUUAAAACUAUUACCAAUACCCCGCCCUGGUGAUACAAUCGCAUCGCCUGUGGCAAUUUCUGAAAGUUUCUGCGGAAC